GACGAAGGUGGCAAGCGUUGUUCGGAAUCACUGGGCUUAAAGGGCGCGUAGGCGGCUCAACAAGUGUCUUGUGAAAUCCCUCGGCUCAACCGAGGAAUGGCUAGGCAAACUGUUGGGCUUGAGGCAGGUAGAGGCGAGUGGAACUCUUGGUGGAGCGGUGGAAUGCGUAGAUAUCAAGAGGAACGCCGGUGGUGAAGACGACUCGCUGGGCCUGUCCUGACGCUGAGGCGCGAAAGCCAGGGGAG
rnacentral:rRNA from 1 species